rnacentral:rRNA from 1 species
AGAGGGUGACACUCCCGUCCGCCUGGCAGAGUGAGUCAUUUGUCAACAAGUCGAGUUGUUUGGGAUUGCAGCUCUAAUUUGGUGGUAAAUUCCAUCUAAAGCUAAAUAUUGGUGGGAGACCGAUAGCGUACAAGUACCGUGAGGGAAAGAUGCAAAGAACUUUGAAAAGAGAGUUAAAGAGUACCUGAAACUGCUAGAAACGGAGCGAAAGGAAACAGUUGUUUGUUUGUCAUUACUUCCUAGCCUACUUGGUGGUCGUUGGGCGCUGGUGGGCUUGCGUGUAGGUUUUGGGUUGGUUGACUUUCCGUUUAGGAAGAGCGCAGUCAGUAGUUGAUGUCU